CCUACGGGAGGCAGCAGUGAGGAAUAUUGGUCAAUGGCCGGAAGCCUGAACCAGCCAAGCCGCGUGAAGGACGACGGUGCCAAGCAUUGUAAACUUCUUUUGUCAAGGGACAAAAUCAGGCUCGAGAGCCUGACUGAGGGUACUUGAAGAAAAAGCAUCGGCUAACUCCGUGCCAGCAGCCGCGGUAAUACGGAGGAUGCGAGCGUUAUCCGGAUUUAUUGGGUUUAAAGGGUGCGUAGGAUGGUCUAUAAGUUAGCGGUAAAAGCCCGGGGCUCAACCCCGGGGGAGCCGUUGAGACUGGAUGUCUUGAGAUGUCGAGAGGUAGGCGGAAUGCGCAGUGUAGCGGUGAAAUGCUUAGAUAUUGCGCAGAACUCCGAUUGCGAAGGCAGCAUACCGGCGGGGAUCUGACGCUGAGGCACGAAAGCGUGGGUAUCGAACAGGAUUAGAUACCCUGGUAGUC
rnacentral:rRNA from 1 species